GACGAACGCUGGCGGCGUGCCUAACACAUGCAAGUAGAACGCUGAAGGAGGAGCUUGUUUCGCCGGAUGAGUUGCGAACGGGUGAGUAACGCGUAGGUAACCUGUCGGGGAGCGGGGGAUAACGAAUGGAAAGGUAAUCUAAUACCCCAUAAAAGUAGAUGUUCCAUGACAUUUGCUGAAAAGGUGCAAUUGCAUCACUACUAGAAGGACCUGGGUUGUAUGAGCUAGUGGGUGAGGUAACGGCUAACCAAGCCAACGAUCCAUAGCCGACCGGAGAGGUGGACUGGCCAGCUUGGAACUGAGAAACGCCCCGGACUCUUAGGGGAGGCAGCGGUGGGGAACUUUGGACAAGGGGGGAAAGCUGGACGAAGAAAUGCGGGGGGCAGGAGGAAGGUCUCCGGUCGGUAAACUGUUUUUUUACGGAAGGAAGCGUGUCUGGGUAAAACGUGCACAUAAUGACGGUACCGUAAGAGUAAGCAACGGCUAACUACGUG
rnacentral:rRNA from 1 species